rnacentral:rRNA from 1 species
AGUAAAUAGACUACCCCGGUAGUCCCAGCUAGUAAACGAUGCGCGUUAGGUGUAUCGGUGACCACGAGUCACCGAGGUGCCGAAAGGGAAAAACCGUAGAAACGUGCCGCCUGGGAAGUACGGUCGCAAGGCUGAAACUUAAAGGAAUUGGCGGGGGAGCACCACAACAGGUGGAGCCUGCGGUUUAAUCGGACUCAACGCCGGGAAGCUCACCGGAUAAGACAGCUGAAUGAUAGCCGGGUUGAAGACUCUGCUUGACUAGCUGAGAGGAGGUGCAUGGCCGUCGUCAGUUCGUACUGUGAAGCAUCCUGUUAAGUCAGGCAACGAGCGAGACCCACGCCAACAGUUGCCAGCAUGUCCUCCGGG